rnacentral:rRNA from 1 species
UACGAAGGGGGCUAGCGUUGCUCGGAAUCACUGGGCGUAAAGCGCACGUAGGCGGAUUGCUAAGUCAGGGGUGAAAUCCUGGAGCUCAACUCCAGAACUGCCUUUGAUACUGGCGAUCUCGAGUUCGGGAGAGGUGAGUGGAACUGCGAGUGUAGAGGUGAAAUUCGUAGAUAUUCGCAAGAACACCAGUGGCGAAGGCGGCUCACUGGCCCGAUACUGGACGCUGACGGUGCGAAAGCGUGGGGAGCAAACAGG